rfam:Nomascus leucogenys chromosome 18, whole genome shotgun sequence.
GCCAGGCAUGAAGGCAUGUACCUGUAGUCCAGGUUCUCAGGAGUUUGAGGUGGGAAGAUUGCUUGUUCCCAUUUCUGGGCUGUAGUGCACUAUGCCAAUCAACUGUCCACACUAACUUUAGUAUCAGUAUGGUGACCUCCCAGGAGCAGGGGACCACCAGGUUGCUAAGGAGGAGGGAACCGGCCCAGGUCAAAAAUGGAGAUGAUCAAACCUCCUGUUCUCAUCAGUAGUGGAAUCACCCCUGUGCAUAGCCACUCACUCUAGCCUCAGCAACAUAGCAGUUUCUGCUAUUUU